rnacentral:rRNA from 1 species
CUGCGGGCUGCAGCAGUGGGGAAUAUUGCACAAUGGGCGCAAGCCUGAUGCAGCCAUGCCGCGUGUGUGAAGAAGGCCUUCGGGUUGUAAAGUACUUUCAGCGGGGAGGAAGGGAGUAAAGUUAAUACCUUUGCUCAUUGACGUUACCCGCAGAAGAAGCACCGGCUAACUCCGUGCCAGCAGCCGCGGUAAUACGGAGGGUGCAAGCGUUAAUCGGAAUUACUGGGCGUAAAGCGCACGCAGGCGGUUUGUUAAGUCAGAUGUGAAAUCCCCGGGCUCAACCUGGGAACUGCAUCUGAUACUGGCAAGCUUGAGUCUCGUAGAGGGGGGUAGAAUUCCAGGUGUAGCGGUGAAAUGCGUAGAGAUCUGGAGGAAUACCGGUGGCGAAGGCGGCCCCCUGGACGAAGACUGACGCUCAGGUGCGAAAGCGUGGGGAGCAAACAGGAUUAGAUACCCCGAUAGUC